UGCGCGCAACUUUCUGGAGCGGUCGACCCCAGUGCACCCCGCUUGUGGAGAGGUCGGCUCCCAGCACUCCCCGCCUCUGGAGAGGUCAUCGGGGCUGAAGCCAGGCAGGAUUUUGGGGGCGCUCAGAAUCCUUCCGAUGGAGCUCUGCGUUUGAAGCCUGGAUGCCGGAAUUUUCAGAAGAGGAUGGUGCUGUGCAUGACGGCUGUUUGGCUUGACCGACAGACCCCUGAGUCUCAAAGGACACUUUGAUGCCGCCCAUGGAUUUCCCCGUAUGCUGCACCGACACACGGCCUGGGAGAAAUAAAACGAGUCCACGCUGAAAAUGCAGAAUGAAUUCAGAUCCGUUUACCUCUCAAGACAUAUUGUGGACAAAAAGAAAAACAAAGCUGGUGAACUGUGGGACGACAUCUCUGAAGAAUCCCAGCAUCACUUGAGCCGGUGCAAAAUGGUGGCCCUCUUGCCCUGAAUCAGUGAGUACAUUUACCACGUGUAAUCCAGGGAUGUUCGGAAGUUACUGGCAAUAAAGACAACUUAAUUUAACAGGAAGACAGUGUUAUCACCGCAGUCAGCCCACGUGAGCCUCCCGAGAGACCGCAGGCUCCUGCAGGUACGGCUGGUCCUUGGCAUCCCCGAGUCUCCACGACACCAGCAAGGAAUUCCUUGGUUGUGUCAUUGGGAACUUCUCCACAGCUGGGUGAUUAUGUCUGGUC